CCCCUCCCUUCUCCGCAGCCUGGCGGCGGGGCCUGCUCAAGCACAGCCAUCCGGUGUGGGGGGAACCCCGCGGCUCAACUUCCACCACCCAGGGCUGGGGUGCACAGCCGCAGGGGACCCAGCACCCAGCCUCGGGAGGGGCGCGCAGCGGAGAGCGCGCCCCGGGCCGCGCGGCGGAGAGCGCGCCCCGGGCCGCGGCCCAGACUUUCCCCGGGUUCCCCCCCUCCUUCGACCUCACCCUCGGGCCGGGCGAGAGGAAACUAAGGAGGGCAGGGGAGCCCGCGAGGCCGGAGGCGCGGGCGCCGGGCGCCGGGCGCACCCCUGGCCCGCUCCCUAAGGAGGCGGCGGGCGGGACCCGCUCUGCUCCCGCGCCGGGCCGGUGAGAUCCGGCGCUCGCGGGCGAGGCGGGGCCGCCGUCAGCACCGCCCUCGGGGGCCAGGGAGGGGGCGGUGGGAGGCGUGCGCGCGGCGGCGGCGGCGGCUGCCCCGAGCGCCGGCCGGGGCGGAGCGGGGCUCCAGCGCGCUACCCGGCCCGGGCCGGGACCCCCGCUGCUCUCUUCAAGGCUUGUCGCCGCGGCCCCUCGAGCCCGGCCGCCGCCGCCAGCGGCGCCGGGGCGGGCCCCACGGUGAGCCCACCAGGAAGCGAUGAGGACACAGAGGCUUGUAAAGAUAAAGUGACUGAUCCAAGGUCACGCACGGGCCGGCUGCAGAGGCACCGACAUGGGGCUGAAGCUGAGCUGCCUGAAAGUCUGGCUGGAGGAGACGGGGUCGUGCCCGGAGGAUGGAGAAACAGACCCUGAGGCCUGAGGAGAAGGCACGCGUGGGUCGGGGAUUUGCCUGCACCGGCUCCUGCUCUGGCUGCCCGUCACUUGGCGUGUCCCGGGGUGCCUGGGACAGAUGUGCUGAGAACGCUGGCUGGGAAGACAGAGUGAUUCCGGCACUGGACCAGCAGAGGCGUGGCAAGAGGAGAGAGGAAUCGGCCCUGCCCUCGUCCAGAACGACAUUUCCCAGCCCCUGUAGAGUGGACCGGACCUCUGAUGCCUACAUAUUCUUGCCGACCCCGGGGCCCAGUGACGGCCAUCAGGGUACCAGGGAGAGGCUUUCUUCUAGACGGACUCCCAGCGGCCUGGGCCAUGCAGACGGGUGCCCAGGAGGUCCGCACAUACAAGGACUUCUUGCAAAGGACUGGCUUCAUUUUUUACAAGUUGUCUUACAGACAUUGACACAGUCCAAAAAGUGAUUUAUAAUUUCUUUUUUGCACUGUAAGUAAAGAUCCCAUGUAACGAGCAGUGGACCCUGCUUCUUGGGCGGGCAGAGAAGGUGGUGCACACCCGGGUACACAGGUAGGCUUCAGAGAAUCGCUUAUCAUGGAGGGGCUGGUCCGGCUGGUGAUGGGUCUUUGGAUGGUCUUGGCCCCUUGAUUUGCAGAGUGUCCUGUGCCUCCUCAUUCUGUGGCCGGCAGCUACCGGAGUGCGUUCUUGUGACAGACGCACAGAACACAAGCCAGGCCGUGCGAGAGCAUUCUCAGCUUCGGCGUGUGGGCCAAGCCAAGUCACAUGGCCAAACCCCACAUGGGUGAGCUGGGCGGUCCCAUGGCACAGGAAGGGAUGGACAUGUCUAUUAAAGGGAGGGAGAGACGGGCUGGGAAUAAUAAUCCAGUCUCCCGGCGUAGACACUAUUAUUAUCCCCAUUUUACAGAUGGGGCACUUGAGGAACCUAGAGGCUUAGAUCCCUUGCCCAAGGCCAUCAGAUAGUAAGAAUUUGAACCCAGACCCCAUACUCUUUUCUUUUUUAAUAUAAAUUUAUUUAUGUAUUUA